GCGCAGCAGGCGCGAAAACUUCACACUGUGCGAAAGCACGAUGAGGGAAUCCCAAGUGCUUGCGCGUAAGUGUAAGCUGUUUCUCUGUCUAAAACGCAGAGAGAGUAAGGGCUGGGUAAGACGGGUGCCAGCCGCCGCGGUAAUACCUGCAGCUCAAGUGGUGACCGUUAUUAUUGGGCCUAAAACGUCCGUAGCCGGUUUAAUAAAUAGCCUGGUAAAGUUAGUGUAGCUUAACUAUACGAAUU
rnacentral:rRNA from 1 species